GGCAGUCCAGCCGCAGGGGCCACCCGAACAGUCUCUCCUCCUCACAGAAGCCUGGAGCUGGGCAUCCAAGAAGAAGCAGCCUCAUUUGUUUUCUGGUGUCAUCGUAGGUGGCCACCUAUGGCUUUUGGGAAUGUAAAAAGGGCAGCUCUCUGGCAUGUUCCUGACUGAGGAUCUCAUAACAUUUAACUUGAGGAACUUCCUCCUUUUCCAGCUUUGGGAGUCAAGCUUCUCACCUGGGGCGGGUGGGUUCUGCACCACCCUCCCACCCUCCUUCCUCCGUGUGGACGAUAGAGCCACAUCCAGCACCACGGACAGCUCCCGGGCGAUCCCAUGGGAGUAGAAGAGGUGUGAGCAGGUUGCCCAGCUGGUUAGCGGAAAUGCCAAGAUCCAGGCUCCUGAAUUUCAGCCUGGCCCUUUCUAUCUGUCUGAUACCUCCUUUACGAGUCUCUCUGCCUGCGUUGUGUGGAGCGGGCCUGCUGCUGGUUGGGGGAGUUUGCAGGUUGCCCCUAUGCAAAAAAGGACAGGAUGCAUGACUGGCAUCCUUCAUCUCCUCGUCCUCCAGGCAGCACAAGCCAUUGUGGAAUCUCCACCAGGUGUACAGAACGGUGCCUCUGCGUCCUGCCACUCAGGACCUCUCAAGUCCCCGAUGUGAUGGCUCCUCAGCAUGAUCAGGAGAAAUUCCAUGAUCUUGCUUAUUCCUGUCUUGGGAAGUCCUUCUCCAUGUCUAACCAAGAUCUAUAUGGCUAUAGCACCAGCUCUUUGGCUCUUGGCUUGGCAUGGCUAAGUUGGGAGACCAAAAAGAAGAAUGUACUUCAUCUGGUUGGGCUGGAUUCCCUCUGAUAAGCCUUCCCAGUUGACUGAAAGAUGAGGCUAGGCUCUAGCAAGUUGAAGUCAAACCAGCUCCUUCAAGAAGCUUUGAGCAGAAUGAAGUGGGGAGGACCCAGCUUCCAGCCCAGGAAGCCCACUGUACCUGGAGCCAUCUGGGAUAAGACUUUGACCCAUGACUCCCAUAUCCACAGCCUGUCCAUCCUAGCCCAUCCCAGUUUAUCCUGUAUCAUUUGAGCUGGGAUUCCCACAUCCUCUGAGUUGGAAGUCCCAUCUCAAGUCUUCAAUAAAGACUCUUGAAUAUUGAAUCACA
ensembl:lncRNA MIR9-1HG MIR9-1 host gene